GAUGAACGCUGGCGGCGUGCCUAAUACAUGCAAGUCGAGCGAAUGGAUUAAGAGCUUGCUCUUAUGAAGUUAGCGGCGGACGGGUGAGUAACACGUGGGUAACCUGCCCAUAAGACUGGGAUAACUCCGGGAAACCGGGGCUAAUACCGGAUAACAUUUUGAACCGCAUGGUUCGAAAUUGAAAGGCGGCUUCGGCUGUCACUUAUGGAUGGACCCGCGUCGCAUUAGCUAGUUGGUGAGGUAACGGCUCACCAAGGCAACGAUGCGUAGCCGACCUGGGAGGGUGAUCGGCCACACUGGGACUGAGACCCGGCCCAGACUCCUACGGGAGGCAGGAGUAGGGAAUCUUCCGCAAUGGACGAAAGUCUGACGGAGCAACGCCGCGUGAGUGAUGAAGGCUUUCGGGUCGUAAAACUCUGUUGUUAGGGAAGAACAAGUGCUAGUUGAAUAAGCUGGCACCUUGACGGUACCUAACCAGAAAGCCACGGCUAACUACGUGCCAGCCGCCGCCGUAA
rnacentral:rRNA from 1 species